rnacentral:rRNA from 1 species
AUUGAACGCUGGCGGCAUGCUUUACACAUGCAAGUCGGACGAGUGGCGGACGGGUGAGUAACAUCUCGGAACGUACCGAGUAAUGGGGGAUAACUAAUCGAAAGGUUAGCUAAUACCGCAUAUUAUUCGAGCGGCCGAUAUCUGAUUGGCUGGGUGGUGGGGUAAAGGCCUACCAAGGCGACGAUCAGUAGCGGGUCUGAGAGGAUGAUCAGCCACACUGGGACUGAGACACGGCCCAGACGCUGACGUGAGGCAGCAGUGGGGAAUUUUGGACAAGGGGCGCAAGCCUGAUCCAGCCAUGCUGCGUGUCUGAAGAAGGCCUUCGGGGUGUAAAGGACUUUUGUCAGGGAAGCGGUACCUGAAGAAGAAGCACCGGCUAACUCCGUGCCAGCAGCCGCGGUAAUUC